AGUCCGUGAUUCGGGCACCUCCUUAUUAACUGCUUGAACCGCUCCCACGUCUCGAAUAAUGCUUCACCGGCUUCUUGUAUGAAGUUUUGAAUUUCUCUCUGGAGUCU
rfam:Erythranthe guttata cultivar DTN x IM62 scaffold_97_contig_29, whole genome shotgun sequence.